GGCAAGAAGUUCGCACUUAAUUAACUUGUCAUCUUACAUCAGCCCAGCAUCCUGCACGAGAAUCUGAGUCCCAGCAACUGUGUGAUCCACACAGGAGCUGGUUUUGGCUGCUGUCUGGCUCCAGGCAGAGGAGGUGCAGUCUGGCCUUUUCUCUGGGGUUCUUCCUGCUCUUUGAUGUUUUUCUCAGGAGAAAUCCAUAGUAGAAAUGUCCUCAUGCUACCUUUGAAGAAUCCUCUCGAAAGAACUAGUUUCUUUCGUAAAAGGAUCCAAAAGUGUUUCUCUCAAAGGUGUCUUCUAUUCUCCAGUCCUGGGUGGGUGUGGAGGUCGCAAGGUACUCACAGUUUUCUGCAAUGGGUCCCUGCUGGCCUCACCCUUUUCAGCCAGGGCAGACACCUUGCUUUCUGUCUUCUGUGUUGAUGGCGCUGGAUCGUGGGCUUGUGCUGCCCCAGGCUCCUCUCUCUGUCUGCCUUUAGGUCACCUAUCAGCUGCAAAGAGGCCUGGUCCCAGGAGACACACUGUGGAGCCGGCCCUGGGAUGUCACAGAAGGCAAAUCAUCUGCAGCUUGGCAUGCAUCAGAGGACAAGUCUGGAAACUGCAGAGGCAGGGCACAGACCUGAGACUGGUUCACUGACUUCAUCUCCACUCUGUGCUGAAGCACAUUCCCGAUGCCUGGCUGAAGCCAUCGCUCUCCUGCCUCUGGGACCACACAUGCUGUGCUUUGCCCUGUCACACCUUAACUGAAGACCCAUCCAAAGACACACUGGCUGGACCGCCCGCCAUCCCAUGUGUUAAAAGGACUCAAGAGUUCUCUGUGUUCACCUCUCAACCAUAGACUAUGCAGUUCCCCUACCUUUCCCCUUGUUCAGCAAGCCUUCCAGUGUGCUGCCUGAGCCACAAUCUGGUGGUGGUCACGCUGACAUCUGUGGUGCCCACCUGUCCCUCCUCAGCACCACCCUGCUCUUCUCUGCACCACCAGCCUGUGCAAUCCCUUCCUCCUCCACUAUCCCUGAAGCCAGGAAUUUGACAGAAUCUGCCUGUUGGAGCAAAGAUACCAAGUGGCAUCCAGGAAAGGACAGUCCCUCAUGUCACAAGUUGGGCAAGGAGUGGAGAUGAAGGCGUGAACAAGACCCUCUCAGCCUCCAGAUGAUCAUCCACCAGCUGCAGCAACACCCUCCUCUCAUCCCAAAGCUGUUAUCAGUAGCUUACAAUCAUCAACAUGUGCUCGCCCUAAUUUUCAUGGUUUCUAAAUGCUUAGAUUAUUUUCCCUGCUGAAAUGCCUCAGUUACAUUGGCCGUGAGGAUUUUUCUAGAGUAAUUCUUCCCUGCUUUUACCUCUAGUAAGAGAAGAUUGCAUUUCAGUGGAAAAAUUACGUAGGAAAUAGGAAGAGACAUUUGCAGAGAUUCUAUUCCCUUUACCACUCUCAGUCAUUCUAGUGUUAUAGAAAGAGCCAGCAGUGUCCUCAAGGUCAAACUGGCUGAAUGCGUUUAUUAUUGUAAUGAUUACCAACCGUCUACCUUCACACAACACUAUCAUUACAGGAAAGCCCAUGAAAAUGCCUUCUUAGGCCUCAUUAAAGUUUCCAAUAACUCAGUCCAGCAUCUUCAGAUAGUUUCAGGGGUUAAAUCAAUACACAUAGUCCAAGAAUCAACAAGCCAAGACUGCCUAUUUCCUUGAGCUCUUUUAUUAGUCUUUAUUUGAUUGUAAGUGCUCUGGUAUUUUGGAAAUACCACCAGUAGAAAAUUAAACUUGAGCCAUGUUGGAAGGGACCUCAAUAUCGCUUUAUUCAUUGCUAAACUUUGGGUCCAGGUUUCUCAGUUAACAAAAUACAAGACCUGUUCAUUAUUGGAAGAACACUUCGAUGCUGGACCUUAGGCUAGGAUUCUGUGGAGAACCUCCAAGUAGAGCCCAGCCAGAGACAGUCAUCCACACCUAGGACUGCAGGACAAGUAGAUGUUUCGAGGAGGAAGUCAGCCCCUGCCCCAAUCAUGAACAAAGUCCACCUACACUCACCUUUGUUGCCAGCAUACAUUCUCCUACUCUUUUCGAAUCCCUGGAAAUGUCCUGUCUCCAUCCUCAGUAAUGCUUCUUCCUUACUAUGCAUGCUUCCUCCUCCUUAAUGUGAUUCCUCCAUGCCGUUUGCUGUCCUGUAUUUUCCUGUCUUGACUGUAAUUCACGCUCAUGAAAUGACCAUUGAUUAUUUUCUCAGCCUAGGGAAACAAGCAGCCAGUGAAACUAACCAAAGUGUUUGUUGGAUCUGUGGUCCUGUUCUUCAGCUUGCUGUCACUCUAACAAAAUACCUGAGAUAACCAAAUUACAAAGAGGAACAGUUAAUUUGGACUCACAUUUUGGAUGUUACAGUCCAUGAUCAGUUGGCUUCGCUGUUUUUAGGCCCAUGAUGAGGCAGCACAUUAUGGUAGGAGCACAUGACAGAGAAAACCUGCUUGUAUCAUAAGCCAAGGAGCAAAAGAAUGGAAGGGGAAGGCACUGGGGUCCCCUAAUUACUGCCAAGGCCAUACCCUCAAGGAGUAAGCACUUCUGUCAGGAACCACCUUUUAAAGUUUCUACCACUUCCCUAUAGUGCUAUCCUGUGGAACAGGACUUUAACACACUCACUUUGGGGCGACACUGAGCGCGCACAUUAUAGCAAUGCCUAUACUCCAUUUAAUCUUAAGAUUGACAUUUUCUUAAUUAUUGUCUUUUUUAUGCUUUAGAUAUACAGAGCCAGCUAGUUCUUCUUUUGGGAAGAUGUUGAGCAAUGCCUUAAAAGCACUUGGAACUCAAGACUUUGAUGUGGCCUCUUGAAGGAGUUUGCUUGUUGUUUUUUGGUACUGGGGAUUGAACUCAUGACCUCGUGCUUGCCAGGCAGGUGCUUGUGCUGCUAAGCUAAACUCCAGGCAAGAGUUUUCUUUUUCACUAGAAAUCAAUCUAAUAAAUGGUUACCAUUUAGGACACAGUAAAUGUCCCAUGUCACUGCUGCAAGAAAUUCUUUUUCAUGCAAAGAUCAAACUCCCUUUAAAACCAUUCAUUUGACACCCAUUCAAUGUCAUUAUUAUAGGAAAUUAUUUGAUCAAGCAUAAAUAUUUUUGGUGGACUGAAAGAUCAGACCAAAGAACUUGAUGGAUGAAAAUACUCAAUAGUACAUGGGUUAUGGGCUCCCUUAGCCUUCUACUCUGAGUCAGCUCUUUGAGCCUUUGUUGCAACCACUGGAAGCAACAACCAUCAUUAUUACAUGUUAAAGGAAUUUUAUGUCAUUUGUGGUUAUAAAAUAUGCAAAAGUGCAGAGGCAGCCCAGUGCACAGGCUGUUAUGUGAGUUGUCCCCCACUUCCACAUCCCAUUCUUUUUGUCUGUUACCUGAAUUCUCUGUCUCUUUCCUUCUUCUCCCCAGUGGGGUAUUGGUGAUUGAACCUAGAGCUUUCAGACUGACCUAACAUCCCAGCCCUUUGUAUUCUUUAUUUGUUGUUUUGAGAUCAGGCGUCAAGAAGCUGUUAAGUUUCCCCAGCUGGGGUUGAACUUGUGAUCCUCCUGCUGUGGCCUCCCAGAAGGCCGAUAUUACAGGCAUGUAUUACCAUGCCUGGCUUGGUCUCUUUUUGAAAAUCUUGCUUACCUUUGUCUUCUUGGAACUAAGCUCAGUGUAUCCUGGAGUUUCUAUCUCCUACUGCAGAAAUGCAAAUAAUACCUGUGCUACUGUAUUUAAAAAGUAUCUGGUAUUAUUUUUAUUUGACAUUGCCUAGGAGCAGCAGUAGCAGAGGGUAAAUGUGGCAAAAGAUAAGGACCUCAGACUCUGGCCCCAAAUUCAAUUAAGGGAACUCCUGUAUUGCCUUCAUAAGGUUCUGGGACUUUGCUAAGAGUAUGUUAGACUGAGCAAAAAGAAAACCCAGAGACUUUUAAGUGUCACAUCUUCUCUUUCCACAACUUCACCAGUGUGUAAUGACUCUGGGUUAGAAGCCAGAUUGUGUUGCAAAAAAAGAUUUUGUUCCUUUCUGGGAAGUUAGUUUAUUUAAAAUUGAUGAAUUGACAUUAAUCUCAAGGCCAGGGACUUAGUUAAAAGACUUUGAGAAGUCUUUCCCAUGAAUCUAUAACUCUGUGAUCAGCUUUUUACUGACUUAUUUCUUGAACUUCAGUGAGCUCAUUAGUUUAACUAUAAGUCUUCCAGGAAGAGAAGUCAGUGAUCUCAAAAGGAAAGAAAAAGUCCACCCUUUAAACAGCCUCCUGCCAAGAAUGUGCUGGUUAUUUUUAUUUUUUUUUCCAACCACCUGUGAGUAGAGCACUGACUACUCUUUCAGUCUUCUGUUUUUCUUUCUAGUAGUUCCCUCAACCCAUCACUGACCACAUCAUGUAUUUCCAUGGAUUGAACACUUCCUUGGUAUGAACAGUAUGGUAUAAUUCUCUUGAAUUAAAGUUAAAUUUACUCAAUUAUGAGACUUUAUAUUUUUACUCAAGUAUCUCAAGUACAUUUUGAAUAUGAAGUACAUAUUAUAUGCAAUGUUGACUAGAAAUAUAAUGUUACUAACAAAUUCUACAAAAUCUGCUUUAACCCUGCAAAUGUGAACAUUUAAUUUCUUUUCAUAUACAAAGUAUAUCUGAUAUUUUGAAAGACUAUUAAAGAGAAGAUUAUUUAAGCGUAUUUGAAUGCAAAUUUUAUGGCUUAUGGGAAGAAUCAUGCUUAUGAUAAAUUGAAUGUAUAACAUUGCUUAUGCUUUUUGUUAAUGGGAAGGUUCAGUUCUUCAAGAAAAUAGCACAUAUAAGUAAUAGACAUUACAAUUCUAACAGGUAAUAUUUUUUGAGCAAAUACCUGGAACCAAGCACUGUUCAAAACAGGUCACUCGUGGUCAUAAAAAUAUUACCAAUUUAAUUGUCCCUUUGAAGUAUGGGAUGAAAUGAGAGAUGUAAAAAAAGGGUUAAAUAUGGUCUUUUACUAUGUCGGUUAUUUGUAUUAUAGUACCACACAUAGGAACUUUAUAUUGGAAAUAAUUUAAGAGUUAUUGGUUUGUGGGUGCUUUCUUAAGCUCCCAAUUUAGGGAUCAAAUUGUGAGUCACUUUUCUCUUUAGUGAAGUUAUACUGCAAUUUAGAAACAUGAAAAAUAUUUCCUUAUUUCUUAAUAGUGGAAAACAUGAAAAGUAUUUCCAUGUUUAUUAAUAGUUCUAAACCCUUAAAAUACUAAAAAUUCACCUUUGAUUGUUGACUCAAAUCAAAUCAUGUAGUUUAAAUAUUUAAAUUUCAAACAAGUUAUCAUUUUUAUUCUUUAAAUUAUAAAUGAUAUGUUUUAGCUGCAGAUUUGUCAUGGCAAUCCCCACCCCUCCAAUAAAAAACAUGGGGAUGAUAAACAAGUAGAGAGUUCUCUGCUUGUGAACCAGUUGGGCUGUUGGGACCCAGCUUCCAAUGUGGGCCACUGAGUACCCACCAUGGAGUUGUCCUAGCCAGGGCCUUGUAGUCGCCAGCCCAGCUUACACCAGUUCCAGGCAACCAGAGAUCUGUCUCCAGGAAGGACUCCAACUCCCUGUCUGACUAAACAUUUCCACUGGUUUUAUUGGGGUAUUAACCAGUAGUCACUGGAAAACCUGAUCACUGCUUUCAGAGUCACAGCUUUUCUAAAAACUUUUAACUAGCUGGAAGAAUACACACUUUUCUUACAUGUUUGCAACGGGACAGAGAAGGAGUGUAUGUGUGUAUGGUCUAGUCAUUCUGCCAUACUUAUCUCCAUAGAAAAGGUGGGUCUCACGUUGGGCACCAAAGAUGUAACCAGUUCCCUUUGGGUUCUUGUUCUGAGGUGGUACAGAAAGGCAUGACAAAGUAACAAGCACCAGUGGAAAAUGAGCAAGUAUAUGUCUUAUCAGAAAGAACAAGAAGAAAAGCUCCUGCUGUCAGGAGGGGUUCUGAAAGGGAUUCCAUAGAUAUUUAAGUUCAGGACCUUUUAUGCAGUCUCUGGAGUGAAAGCAGUAUAGGAAAACAUAAAAGAAUGCAAGGAUGCUACUUGCUGUUUGCCACUACCAGACUUUUGCUGUCCAGAAAGCUAAUUGUAUAUAUUAUGUAUCAGUGUUUUCAAUAAUGGGAUUAUUGUUGAUUAAAUAAGCUACUAUCAUUGUACCUUAUAACACACACAUAUAUAGCUAUCUGCAAUAUAUAGACCUUAGACAUAUAAAAUGAUAAAAAAUUUUUGUCAUUAAAUUUGGUCUUGUUUAAAACUUGUUUUACAUUUUUGGCUUUGAUUAAAUAAACAUUUUUUGUUGUAUAA